ACCACCCCCACCCCCCUCCUCUGAAGAGGAGGGGGCUUUCAAAUCAGUGCCUUACCUCCCCCUCCUCUUCAGAGGAGGGGGCCGGGGGGUGG
rnacentral:ncRNA from 24 species